GUAAGGAAGAAACUAGAAAGAAGCACGAGAGAGAGAAAGGGAUGGGAGAGAGAGAGGGAUGUAAAUGGAGAGAAGAGAAAGUCCAGAGACAAGAAGAGAGGAAAUCGAUCAUGGAAGAGGCUGUCUUCCGUCGUCUACGCCGGUCUUCGGCCGGCGGCCAUAAGAAAGUCCGUCGUCCCUAAUCAUCCGUCUUAGAACAAGAUCGAGAGAAAGGAGAAAAACCAACGCUUUGCCCGGCCUUCUUUCGUUCUGCUCUGCUCUGCCCACCGGACCCCUGAUAUCAACUAUGUCGAUGCAUUGUUAUUUCACUUGCCAUCCAUUGAUGUUUGAACCUUGCCGAGCUUAAUAUUUUAUUUCCUUCCUAUGUGAGGACUUUGAGCCUAGAGCAGUCUAUUUAUAUUUUUUUUUUCAUGUGUGAUGUUAGAUCUAAAUUGACAUUCUAGAACUUGCCUCGAAAUGCAUGUUGAACACACAUGAGGACCUGAUAGAAGUAAGAUGACGGGGGCAUUAGGUAUACCUACUUGGCUUAAAUCAUCCUACCAAAAAAUUUUAUCCACUAGUGAACACUGUUGAGCCUUUUUAUAACCUUUUCAUUCUUCAAUUAAUCAUUAAUCCUUUAGCCAUAUACCAUUUUUUGGAUUUAUACCUUAUAUUGAUCCUUGUGUCGAAGGAAGAGUGGAAGUUUUAUGGCUAUCAUUUAUAUUCUUCUUGUAUAAAAUGUAGAAAGGGAAAGUAUAGUGUUGUUGAUGUUUACAAAAAAGAAAAUAAAACAAAGGGGCUAGACCCCAACAAAACAAAAGAAAAAAAAAACAAAACAAAAAACAAAGUGCUGAAACAAAGCAGCACAAAAAAGAAAAAAGAAAACAAAAAAAAAAACAAAAGAUUAGUGGAGUUACGGUUACCAAUGUAAUGUUGAUUUCAGUUCUUACAAGUGAUAUGCUUUAAUUCUUUCCAUUGUUGUUUCGACACUUUUAGCCGUUCAUUAUCUUUUUUCUACCUAUACCCCGAGCCCCAUUACACCUGUUUAAAGACCCCCUGAUACUUGUCAUUAGGUCCCUUAAGUGAGGGAGAUAUGAUUGACAUGCAAGCCUAUAGGAUUGUCAUUUUUAUGAUUUAACAUGAGUGCAUACACUAACCCAUGGUGAGGUUUGUUGAGCUCAGCUUGGUUCACUCAUUAUUAUUAUCCAUUUAGCUGUAAUGCCGGGUGAAAGAUUGGAGUGCAUUGUUCAAGUACCACAAUGGAAAUGCAGUGCCUACUCAAAGAAAUGAACAAAAAGACGGAGAGAAAAAAAAUCAGAAAAAAAAAGAACUGAAAAAAAGGAAAAAAAAAAAGAAAAGAGAAAAAAGAAAAAGAAAAGCAAAAAAAGAAAGUCAAUCAAAGUGCAGAUGUCGAACCUGUUGAUGGCUGCAAAAGAAAACAUGAAAACAAAGAAACAAAGGAACUCAUUAGGUCUAAACAUCCUAUGUCGGCCUUCAUCUACUCACACAAGUGCCAAGCUGCAUUAAUUGUAAAAAAUAAGAACAUUGUGGAGGUUUUGAAGACCGUCGGUGAGGGUUGGACAUGCAAUACUUACCCAAAGAAAGUAAAAUAAAUAAAAGAACAAAAGAAAAAAAAAAUGAAACAGAAAAGAAAGCCAAUCCAAAUGCUCACUUCAUCGAGAUGUCGAACUUUUUGGGGGCAAAAUGGAAGACAAUUAAUGAAGUCGUGAAGGAAAACAAGAAAACUAAAUAGCAAGGAAAAGGACAUAUUAAAGCCAAAACAUCCUAUGUCAUGUCUCUAUCUACUCGAACAAACGGUGAACUACAUUGAUUGAAGAGAAUAAGAACAUUGUUGAGAUUGUGCCGGUGAAGAAAGGAAAUGAAGAAUGUGCUUAAAAGUACGGUCCGGCUAUUCUUUUGAAGUUGAGAAGAGAUAUUCAUCAUCUUUUGGAUGCCAAAGCUGAAAAGCACCACAAUGGACAUACAGUGCCUACCCAAAAAAACGAAAAGAAAAAAGAAAGAAAGAAAAAAAAAAUCUGAAAAAAAAAAAACGGUUAAAAAAGCAGAAAUGAAAAAAAAAAUAGAGAAAAAAGAAAAAGAAAGAUAAAAAGCAAAAAAGUUUAAAAAAAAGGAAAAAAAAAAAACUGUGAAAGAAAAAAAGAAAAAAAGGUGAGUAUAUAUGAAUUUGUUUACUUUUUACUAAAUCCUAUUGGUUGUUAGUUUGUUAUACAAUCAUAUAUGGUUCUUCUACACAGAUAGGAAGGUAAAGGACCCAUUACGGCCAAAACAUCCUAUGUUGGCCUUCAUCUACUCGAACAAGUGCCGAGCUACAUUGAUUUUAGAGAAUAAGAACAUUGUGGAGAUUGUGCCGGUGAAGAAAGGACAUGAAGAAUGUGCUUAAAAGUACGUUGAGAAAAGAUAUUUUAUCCUCUUUUGGAUGCCAAAGCUUUUUGGGCAGGGGAUGGUAUAUCCUUGGCUUAAUUACAUCUCAUUAAUGUUUUCUUUAUAAUGCAGCACCACAAUGGACAUGCGGUGCCUACCCAAAAAAACGAAAAGAAAAAAAAAGAAAGAAAAAAAAAUUCUGAAUAAAAAAAAUAGUUAAAAAAAAAAGAAGUGAAAAGAAACAGAAAAAAGCAAAAAAAUUUGAAGUAACAGAAAAAGAAAAAAGCAAAAAAAUAGAAAAAAAAGAAAGCUGUGAUGUGAAAGAAAACAAGUGCCGAGCUACAUUGAUUUUAGAGAAUAAGAACUUUGUGGAGGAAGGAAAAAGACCCAUUAAAGCCGAAACAUCCUGUCUCGGCCUUCUUCUACUCGAACAAGUGGCGAGCUAUAUUGAUUGAAGAGAAUUUGAAUAUUGUCGAGAUUGUGAAGAUGGGAGGGAUGGACAUGAAGAAUAUGCUUCAAAAGUAUGGUUUUGCUACUUUGUUGAAGUUGAGAAGAGAUAUUCAUCCUCUUUUGGAUGCCAAAGCUAAAAAGGUAAAUGUUUUGGCGGGAGAUGGUUUAUCUUUGGCCUUAUUUUGUGUUACAGUUUGCAAGUUUAUGCUUUUUUUGUUGUUGUUCUUACUGUAUUAUUUUGCAAAGAGAUCAAUAAAAAAGGUUGAAAAAUAGGAAAAAAAAAAAAAAAGAAAAUAGCUGGAAAAGGGGAAAACUUUUUUUAAAAAAAUGGAAACAAAGAUGAAAAAAUUAAGAAAAAAAAAGAAAAAAUGAAAAAAAAGAGAAGGAGAAGAAAAAAAUUGAAAAAAAAGCCAAUAAGAUGUUGAACUUAAGGAGAUGUUGAACCUGCCGGCAGCAAAAUGGAAAACAAGUCGCGAAAGAGAACAAGAAAACAAAGAAGAAAAAGAACUAAUUAAGCAGAAACAUCCUAUAUCACAUGAUUGUAGAGAACAAGAAUAUUUUGGAGGUUGUGAAGACGGCUGGUGAGAGUUGGACAUGCAGGACUUACCCAAGGAAAAAAAAAAAAAACGAAAAAAGAAGAACUACAAAGAGAGAAGGAAAGGGUCAGAUGCUGAAAUGUUGCGCACUUAUGCUACUGGCCUGCUGGCUGCAUGCUUGGAGAAUGGUGGUCAUCUAGUGGAAGAUGUGUUGACAUAAUGUGAUAUCUACGAGUACGGUUAACACAAACCAAAAGCUUCUAAGGUAUUGUUUGACAACAAAAGUGUGUCCAGCAUGGCUCUAAAGGCCAAAGAGGAUGGCAGGGGUAGGUCAAAGCAAAUGACAGAGAGUUCUCACAUGGAUACUGAGACUAUCAGAGCCCAUCCUACUGAGAGUGAACGUGAAAAAGAUCCCACAUCUAUAGACAACCUUGAUUGAGAUGAUGAGAGGUGUGGCAAUAUGCAAACAUAUGGGGAUGUGUAAUGAGGUGAUGAGGAACAUCUUGAUAGUGUAGCUCCUGAGGUUGAUGCAUAUGAUGCUGAAGCAGAUAGUGACGAGAAGUGCCAUAUUAGGGAUCUUUGCCAGUCAAAAGAAAAACCUGGUGGAAAAUCUCAUGGGGAAGAAGACUUUGAAGGAGUAUCGAUCGCGAUCAAGAGGUAGGUCCAAUGAAGGAUUUUCUGAGAAUGCCUCUCCAGGUUCUGCCAUUAUAUCUGGAGUGGGACAGAAUGGGAAAGAAAAAAGUCCGAUGACAAGUCAAGAACCGAGAAAAGCUUUUGAUGCUAAAAAAGGUUUAGGUAGAAACAAUGGCGAUUCUUUCAUCCUUGCAAGGGAUGAUACUGAUGAUUGCUUCCAACGAUGCAAGGUUGGCUCCAAAGACAUUACUGAGUUGGUUAUGAAAGCAGUCAGAGCUCCUGAGCCGAAGCAAGAACAGCCCAUGCACCUGCCCGUGCCAUUAAGGCUGCAGGUGCUGCUGCUGCUGAGGUCGUUAAGACAGCUGAUUAGAGGAAUACAAGAAGACGAAUGAUGAAGAAGCUAUUGUGGUUGCUGCAUCCAUAUCUUCAUCCCACUGUUAUGGAUGCUGCCAGUGCAGUUGCUCUUGCAAGGUGGUCAUUCCCUUCUGAAGUUCAGAGAGAAAUUCUGUAUCCAGUGUCUUGUUUUUCUUGGGGAGUAUGUUGAAGUUCUUGGUCCUUUACUCCAUGAGAAGGAGUAGAUGUAUGCCUUGCACUACUGCAGCGAAGUCUUAAGCUCGAAGAAACACCCUACACUAAAUUCCUUAUAGCCGCAAACCUUCUGUGAAUGCUACAUUGACCAAUGAUCGGGUUGGUAUAGCUGUCAUUUUGGAUGCUGCAAAUCGUGAUGGCUAUGGUGAACCUGAGGGUCAGCAAGCUUCUUCUAGCCAACAUGGAAAUCAAUCUGCUAUAAACUCCAGGGACAGAAAUUCAGAGAGGAAUGUCCCAAAGCGUGGUCCAAAUCAGAAUGGAUCAAGGGUUCGAACUGGGGAACUGACACCUAUGCCAUCAUCUGUUGGUAACACUUCAUCAUCACAGGCAUCUGCUUCACUAGUUGCUUCUGGUUUAGUUGGAGAUCGCAGGAUUUCGUUCUUGGCUUGGUGCUCAGCUUGAACAAGGAUAUCGUCAAGCUAGAGAAGCUGUUCGUGUAAUGCAUGCUUCUUCAGCUUCUCCAACCUCGAAUGGUGACAUCCCCUGCAGCUCUUGAUUGUCUUCGUGCUCUUACAUGCCGAGUGCUUUUAGGUUGAUGCUAUUGCAAUAUUGACCAUACUUCAGGUUGGGAAAAGUUAUCAGAGCUCAUCCGAGUGGGAGCCAAACUGCCAGUGGUGACCAAAAUAGAUGGCAGCCGACUUAACUCAAGUAAUCUUAAACUCUGAGGUGUGGGAUCUCCGGAGCCAUCAUUAGAUCAGACGGUCGGUGAUAAGAUUUAAUGCCAGUGGUGAUGUUAUAUAUGCAAUCCUCAGGCGAAAUCUAGAGGAUGUCACUUCAGCAUUCAAUGCACGCCGUGUGAAGCACCCUCUUUUUUCUGCUUUUUGCAUUGUGGAUGCUGUCAACUAUUCGGAUAUUGCAAAAGUUCCCGUGGAUCCCUGGUGUAGUUGCUAAAUUAUUCCUAGACUCUCUGCAGCAGAAACAAGAAGACAAAUAUAUUAUUCACAGACUCAUGAUUUACGAAUAUCCUCUACAUGUGGAUGCAGCAGCAAAUUGUGAAGUUACAUCACUUUGCAUUGAAUAGAAUUGGUGCAUGCGAGCGUGGUCCGAAUCAGUUGAAUCAAGGGACCGAACUGGGGAACUGAUGCCAUCAUCUGUUGGUCAUCAUCACAGGCAUCUGCUAGUUGCUUCCGGUUUAGUUGGAGAUUUAGGUGCUCGAGCAGGUUGUGCGGGGCUGGUUCGAAUGGUGACACCCCCGGCAGCUCUUGAUUGUCUUCGUGCUCUUACAUGCCGAGUACUUUAGCAGCUAGUGAUGCAGCGACCCCCACUUUGAGACCAUUGAAAGAGGAGCAGCCAUUGCUGCUGCUACUCCAGUUUCUUAUCAUUCUAGGGCUUAUCCAUGAGCACCUUCAAUUAUCUGAAUUAGGCUAUCACCAAUGCCAUCCUUGGCUGCUCCAUCAUCUUUAGCACAACACGCAUCUGGGCAGGAGUUGUCAUCAGUACAAAUGCAAUGGCCAUCUGAAAUAGCAACUUGUGGAUUCUUGUUGGAUAGACCAAACUGGUGAACAUACACUCAGACCAUAUGGAUUCGAACUUGUUAUGCACACCAUCUGUUGAGAGUUUGCUAACCAGUCCGACCUAUUUAUCCUCAUGUCUGCCCUGAGCCAAGCAUUCAAUGUUUGCAUCACUGCCAUCAGAUUCAUCCCGGCGUUAAAUCCUUGUGUAUGAUGAUAUCCAGUCUUGUCAAUUGGAUCUGACACUGACUGAUACUUCUAAUAACCCGUCUGGACAUGAUCAUGGAUGUGAUCAUUCAUAUUGACUCAAUGCUGCUUUGGAAUGGAGUUUUGUGGGAUCGCAAGACCAAUUCAUCGAUUUUAUCAAUUUACUGCCUAUGAUGGUGGGGGCUACCAUUCUGCUGGGAAUGAGAUUGUUGAACCAGCGUUGAAUUUGUUAAUAAACCUUGUGUGCCCUCCUUCAUGAAUAAGCAAUAAGCCAAGUCUCAUGCAAGGUCAGCAAGCUUCUUCUACCCAAGCUGGAAUCAAUCUGCUAUAAACUCCAGGGACAGAAAUUCAGAGAGGAAUGUCCCAGAGGUGGUCCAAAUCAGAAUGAAUCAAGGGAUCAAACUGGGGAACUGACACCUAUGCCAUCAUCUGUUGGUAACACUUCAUCAUCACAGGCAUCUGCUUCAUUAGUUGCUUCUGGUUUAGUUGGAGAUCGCAGGAUUUCAUGCUUGGACAAGGAUAUCGUAAAGCUAGAGAAGCGUUCGUUCAAGGCAUGGUAUAAAGGUUCUUCAGCUUCUCCAAUCUCGAAUGGUGACAUCCCCUGCAGCUCUUGAUUGUCUUCGUGCUCUUACAUGCCGAGUGCUUUUAGGUUGAUGCUAUUGCACAUAUAUUGACCGAACUUCAGGUUUGGAAAAGUUAUCAAAGCUCAUCCGAGUGGGAGCCAAACCGCCAGUGGUGACCAAAAUAGAUGGCAGGCGGAAUUAACUCAAGUGAGCUUAUUGGGCUUAUCCAUGAGCACCUUCAAGCAUCUGGAUUAGCUGAGAGUGCAUCUUUGCUAAGUUAUCACCAUUGACUGCUCCAUCAUUUAGCACAACACACAUCUGGGCAAGAGUUGUCAUCAGUACAAAUGCAAUGGCCAUCUGAACGAGCAACUUUUCAGGAACACCAUCAGUGUCUACUGGGAAAUCAAGUGGCGAUCCAGACAAUCCGAGAAGAACUCCAAUAGUGUUGCCAAUGAAACGGAAAAACAGACAUGAAAGAAAAUGGGUUUGGAUCAUCGGUAAAACUGGUGAACAUACACUCACACCACCUGGUUUUUCAACACCGAAUUCUGCUUGUAGAAGUGGUCUGCAGGUGGAUUCGAACAUACAUUUAAGGCGAGGAAGACGAUGAUGAUAAUGGCAGUGAGGUUCUUGAAUCUUUCAGCAGUGACUAUCUUCUGUGAUCGAUCCUUCUUAAAGCUGCAAUCCUACAGCUGAAGAUGCUCACACUUUUACGAUAAACCUCAUGAGAAUUGGUUGAAUCAAGAACAACAUCGUGAGGGGCAAGGCUAAUAAACCAAACCCGAUGAGAAUUGGUAUGUAACUUUCUUUCAUUUUGUUGAGAUUAAAUUGAUGCCUGAUAUCAAAUUGAUGUGUUUUCACUCUGGUGAGGUUAAAUCAAGAACAAUCAUGAUAAGAAUUGGUUGAAUCAAAAACAUCAUCGUGAGUAGAGGGAAGUAUUAGAGGCCAAAUCCGACAAGAAUUGGUUGAAUCAAGAACAACAUUGUGAAGUUAAAUGGGCAAGGCAUACGGACCAAUCAUGAUAAGAAUUGGUUGAAUCAAGAACAACAUCAUGAGUAGAGGGAAAGAUUUUAGGCCAAAUCCGACAAGAAUUGGUUGAAUCAAGAACAAAAUUGUGAUGUCAAAAGGGCAAGGCAUACAGACCAAUCAUGAUAAGAAUUGGUUGAAUCAAGAACAACAUUGUGAUGUUAAAGGGGCAAGGCAUACAGACCAAUCAUGAUAAGAAUCGGUUGAAUCAAGAACAACAUCGUGAGUAGAGGAAAGGAUUAGAGGCCAAAUCCGACAAUAAUUGGCCCCGAUUGCGAGUGAGAUGAAUCGAGAAAAACACCGAGAGGACUAGAUGGACGAGGUUACGGCGCGACUGCAGUUGAUUCAUGAAGUGUCCCCUGUUUUUUAUGUGCCAUUGUUGUCUUUAAUAAACCUUCACAAGGUUUAGGUUUGAGGUUUGGAUAUAAUAAUGAUUUAAAUUAAAAUAAUAUUUUAUAUGAUAUUUUAAAUGAUCCGAGAUCAGAAUUAGACCUGAUAGAAAAAUACAAGCUUUUUGGACAUCGCUUACCAAUGGAUUUUUGAAUACAUUGACCGGAGAUCGCUCUUGGCGAAUGAGCAAUUUUACUUCAAUAAAGUGAUAACAACAUUAGAU